UAGCACUGUAUAUGGGUGGGAAUGGCCGAAAGGCCUCCCUACGCUCCUGUUAUGCGUGGUAGCCCUAAAUACGGUGCUUUU
ncrna:unclassified sequences c4-2 RNA